UUCGCCAUUACUACAAAUAUCAU
rnacentral:snRNA from 1 species